rnacentral:misc_RNA from 1 species
GGGWGAAGUCGUAACAAGGUAGCCGUAUCGGAAGGUGCGGCUGGAUCACCUCCUUUCUAGAGCAAAGGCGUGGUGAGCACCUACAACCUAUCGGUUGUUUAGAACCCAACAGCGGGUCUGUAGCUCAUCUGGUUAGAGCACCGNCUUGAUAAGGCGGGGGUCGAUGGUUCGAACCCAUCCAGACCCACCACGCGCCACAUCACGGGGGGAUUAGCUCAUCUGGGAGAGCACCUGCUUUGCAAGCAGGGGGUCGACGGUUCGAUCCCGUCAUNCUCCACCAUCAGCGCAAUGAGCGGGAGGGGGGUCGGCAAGCGGCAUNAAGCGUAAUGAGUAACGAGAAGCGAGAGGCUUCUCCUUAGAUCAUUACUCCUUAUGAGUAAGCGGUUGUUGGGAUCUUUAAAAAUUC